rnacentral:rRNA from 1 species
AUUGAACGCUGCGGCAGGCUUAACACAUGCAAGUCGAGCGAGCGGCGGACGGGUGAGUAAUGCUUAGGAAUCUUCCUAUUAGUGGGGGACAACAUCUCGAAAGGGAUGCUAAUACCGCAUACUAAUAUAUGACCCUAAGUCGGAUUAGCUAGUUGGUGGGGUAAAGGCCUAACAAGGCGACGAUCUGUAGCGGGUCUGAGAGAAUGAUCCGCCACAAGGAGACUGAGACACGACACAGACUCCGACGGGAGGCAGCAGUGGGGAAGAUUGGAAAAUAGGAGGAACCCUUAUCCAACCAUGCGGAGUGUGUGAAGAAGGCCUUAUGGUUGUAAAGCACUUUAAGCGAGGAGGCGUUCAUCGCAGAAUAAGCAGCGGCUAACUCUGUGACAGCAGGCGCGGAAAUUC